rnacentral:rRNA from 1 species
UACGUAGGGUGCGAGCGUUGUCCGGAAUUACUGGGCGUAAAGAGCUCGUAGGUGGUUUGUCGCGUUGUUCGUGAAAACUCACAGCUUAACUGUGGGCGUGCGGCGAUACGGGCAGACUGGAGUACUGCAGGGGAGACUGGAAUUCCUGGUGUAGCGGUGGAAUGCGCAGAUAUCAGGAGAACCGAGCCGUGGCGGAAGGCGGGUCUC